AACUUUCGGCAAUGGAUCUCUUGGUUCUGGCAUCGAUGAAGAACGCAGCGAAAUGCGAUAAGUAAUGUGAAUUGCAGAAUUCAGUGAGUCAUCGAAUCUUUGAACGCACAUUGCGCCCUUUAGUAUUCUGAAGGGCAUGCCUGUUCGAGCGUCAUUAUCACUAAUCAAGCCUGGCUUGCUGUUGGGUCUCUUCGUCGUUCAAACCGACAGGCCCUAAAGAUAACGACGGCGUUAUUUGGACCCUAGAUGCAACGAGCUUUCGUUAGCACGCGUUUAGUCGGACCUUUUAACCCGGUCUUUUUAACCAAUUUUCUUAAGGUUGACCUCGGAUCAGGUAGGAAUACCCGCUGAACUUAAGCAUAUCAAUAAGCGGAGGCU
rnacentral:misc_RNA from 1 species